UCUUUCUCACCGGGAGACUGAGCAGUGCGGUUCCUGCCUUAGCGGCCUGCAGUGGGAAGCUGGAGCAGCACACGGAGCGGCGUGGGGUCAUCUACAGCCCGGCCUGGCCCCUCAACUACCCGCCAGGCACCAACUGCAGCUGGUACAUCCAGGGCGACCGUGGUGACAUGAUUACCAUCAGCUUCCGCAACUUUGACGUGGAGGAGUCCCACCAGUGCUCCCUGGACUGGCUCCUGCUGGGCCCAGCAGCCCCACCCCGCCAGGAGGCCUUCCGCCUCUGUGGCUCCGCCAUCCCACCUGCCUUCAUCUCUGCCCGCGACCAUGUCUGGAUUUUCUUCCACUCAGACGCCUCCAGCUCCGGCCAGGCCCAGGGCUUCCGUCUGUCUUACAUCCGAGGUGAUGGAGGCUGCAGGGCAGGCAGGACACCACGGAGCACACCGUGCAUGCCCACAGGCUCCCGGCCCACAGGGGCGGCACCCUCCACAGGGCCCUGGCUCCCUGUGGGAUGUCCCCUGACUGCCCUGUCAAUCUCAGGGCAGUGGCAGGACUGGGCAUGCGGAUGCCUUGGGCCUCUCAAGGUCACUGGCCCCACUUCCCAGUCUUGGCUAGUCCUGGGAACUCACCCCUAACCCCAGGCUCAGGUCAGGGACAGAGCCCACCCUGGUGUUGGAGGGGUCUCUGCUGCCACAGUGAUGGGGAACCACCUGCCCGCUUUUGGCCCCAGGCCCCCUGGCCGAAGGGAGGCUCUUCUGUCUCCUGACUGUCCCCUGCUACGUCUCCACCCCACAGGGAAGCUGGGCCAGGCAUCCUGCCAGGCAGAUGAGUUCCACUGUGACAACGGCAAGUGCCUGCCCGGCCCGUGGCAGUGCAACACGGUGGACGAGUGUGGAGACGGCUCUGAUGAGGGCAACUGCUCGGCGCCCGCCUCUGAGCCUCCCGGCAGCCUGUGCCCCGGGGGGACCUUCCCAUGCAGCGGGGCGCGCUCCACGCGCUGCCUGCCUGUGGAGCGGCGCUGUGACGGCUUGCAGGACUGCGGCGACGGCUCCGAUGAGGCGGGCUGCCCCGACCUGGCGUGCGG
rnacentral:sRNA from 1 species